rnacentral:rRNA from 1 species
CCUACGGGCGGCUGCAGUGGGGAAUAUUGCACAAUGGGCGCAAGCCUGAUGCAGCCAUGCCGCGUGUGUGAAGAAGGUCUUCGGGUUGUAAAGCACUUUCAGCGGGGAGGAAGGCGGUGAGGUUAAUAACCUCAUCGAUUGACGUUACCCGCAGAAGAAGCACCGGCUAACUCCGUGCCAGCAGCCGCGGUAAUACGGAGGGUGCAAGCGUUAAUCGGAAUUACUGGGCGUAAAGCGCACGCAGGCGGUCUGUCAAGUCGGAUGUGAAAUCCCCGGGCUCAACCUGGGAACUGCAUUCGAAACUGGCAGGCUAGGGUCUUGUAGAGGGGGGUAGAAUUCCAGGUGUAGCGGUGAAAUGCGUAGAGAUCUGGAGGAAUACCGGUGGCGAAGGCGGCCCCCUGGACAAAGACUGACGCUCAGGUGCGAAAGCGUGGGGAGCAAACAGGAUUAGAUACCCCUGUAGUC